rnacentral:rRNA from 1 species
GACGAACGCUGGCGGCGUGCCUAAUACAUGCAAGUUGAGCGCUGAAGGUUGGUACUUGUACCGACUGGAUGAGCAGCGAACGGGUGAGUAACGCGUGGGGAAUCUGCCUUUGAGCGGGGGACAACAUUUGGAAACGAAUGCUAAUACCGCAUAAAAACUUUAAACACAAGUUUUAAGUUUGAAAGAUGCAAUUGCAUCACUCAAAGAUGAUCCCGCGUUGUAUUAGCUAGUUGGUGAGGUAAAGGCUCACCAAGGCGAUGAUACAUAGCCGACCUGAGAGGGUGAUCGGCCACAUUGGGACUGAGACACGGCCCAAACUCCUACGGGAGGCAGCAGUAGGGAAUCUUCGGCAAUGGACGAAAGUCUGACCGAGCAACGCCGCGUGAGUGAAGAAGGGUUUCGGAUCGUAAAACUCGGUUGGUAGAGAAGAACGUUGGUGAGAGUGGAAAGCUCAUCAAGUGACGGUAACUACACAGAAAGGGACGGCUAACUACGUG